GUGGGUUUGGAAAAGAGGGGUAGCAAAUCGUUCUUUUGGGUUCUUGAUUUUUAAUGCCAAAGCCUUAUUAUUUCGCCAUUCAAGAUCGGUAUGGUGUUAAUCGAGUAGGUUCCAACGUGUCUCGUGUUAAUCGUUCUUUUGGGUUCUCGACCCUUUCUUUCUCAUUGUAGAUUUAUCUGUCGGUUGUUGUGAUUGUGUUGAGGAUAGUUGGUGGGACGUACCAAUAUUAAAUGAUUGUUUUGUUGUAGGUGACGAACGUGAGAAUCGGAAAUCCCCUCGUGCGAUUUAGUUGUUUUAGGGGAUGCUGUGAAUGUGGGUAAGUAUUCGAGCAUUUAUAUAUUCAAUUUUAGUCAGAAUUGCUCGUGUUGUGUUUUAGCCUAGUGAGUGGCUCGGUAAAAAUUGUGGAAUUGGGGACUGAUUUUAGACAAUUUAUUGAUGAUUUUAGGUACUAUUUUCUUCGUGAGUGCGGUGGUAUUGAAAUCGAAUCAGGUGUGUAAUGAGAAACCCGAAAAACAGCAAAUGACAAAAGCCAAAAUUGGGCACUGUCGACGCCACACGGCUGUGUGCGACACAUGACCCUGUGACUGAUCAUGUGCUAAAUCGUGUGUGACAUACGGUCUGGGGUAUUUUGGGUCGUGUGGGUCCUAAAUUUAAGAUUUUUCCCUAGGGCCGCACACGUUAUUCUGAUCAACCGCGGGGUCAGUAUGUGGUUAAAUAUACUACAGAACAGGAAAUUUGGCUAUCUGUUCGUAUGAAUUUUGAUAUCUACAUGUGUAUCUGAGCUGUCAUAUGAUAAUUCAAACUGAGAGUAAUGUUAAAUACGUACAUGAUUUGUAUAGUAACACCCCAAACCCGGCCCAGACAUUAUGGUCGUAUCUAGCGAUGUCACAUGAUAGAGUGUUUGAAAACCGUGUCGUCGCGUUAAAACCAUUUCCAU
rnacentral:lncRNA from 1 species